rnacentral:rRNA from 1 species
UACAGAGGGUGCGAGCGUUAAUCGGAAUUACUGGGCGUAAAGCGUGCGUAGACGGCUAUCUAAGUCGGGUGUGAAAGCCCCGGGCUCAACCUGGGAAUUGCAUUCGAGACUGAAUAGCUAGGGUACGGUAGAGGGAAGUGGAAUUUCCGGUGUAGCGGUGAAAAUGCGUAGAUAUCGGAAGGAACAUCAGUGGCGAAAGCGA